AGCGAACGCUGGCGGCAGGCCUAACACAUGCAAGUCGAGCGCCGUAGCAAUACGGAGCGGCAGACGGGAGAGUAACACGUGGGAAUGUACCCUUCAGUACGGAACAACCAAGGGAAACUUUGGCUAAUACCGUAUACGUCCGUAAGGAGAAAGAUUUAUCGCUGAAGGAUCGGCCCGCGUCUGAUUAGCUAGUUGGUGAGGUAACGGCUCACCAAGGCGACGAUCAGUAGCUGGUCUGAGAGGAUGAUCAGCCUCACUGGGACUGAGACACGGCCCAGACUCCUACGGGAGGCAGCAGUGGGGAAUAUUGGACAAUGGGCGCAAGCCUGAUCCAGCCAUGCCGCGUGGGUGAUGAAGGCCCUAGGGUUGUAAAGCCCUUUCGGCGGGGAAGAUAAUGACGGUACCCGCAGAAGAAGCCCCGGCUAACUUCGUGCCAGCAGCCGCAGUAA
rnacentral:rRNA from 1 species